GUUAUGUUUAGGGUAAGGGUUAAGGUUCUAGGGUAGGGACGUCCCAAGGAUUCAGAAUAGCACUCCGUUGAACUGCUUCGAAACAUCUUCAUGGACUUUUGAAUUAAAUGGCAGUCUCGCAUAGUCGCUUCACUCCCGACAGCUCCACUAGAAUGCAACAAAGAGGUACCCCCUUACCAUCAGGUUCCCACAGCAACCACCUCUGAGGUCAACUGAAGUGUGCAAGUCUCUCUUGUACUAAGGAGUUGUGAAUGAGACUGCCAUUGCUCCGGUCCAGAACAAACCUCACUGGACACCUCAGGCAGAGGGAGACUUCCCCAUGAAUGGAGCCCCUGCACUCCAGGAGUCUUUGCUAAAACAGAGAGAGCGACCAGAAGACUACAGCCGGAACCAGCCCUUUGGCUUUCAAACUCAAUUCAACUUCAAAUAUCUUUACAAAUAACAGACUGCAAUCAUCUGAGAAAGAGAGUGAGGAAUAAGCAUCAGAGACACUAUUGAAGCCAGACUCUGGUCUGGCGGUAAGACACCCAUACACAGUGAGCCUGCCCCUGCUGUCCUCCGAUGGAGACCCCGGGUAGAGCAAGACGCUGCUGCAACGUUACAGAUUUGAAGACACAACUCUGAGGCACGAAUGUACGUAGGUGGAGAAUGUCAAGCUACAACCUGUGAACAGUCUUGUUCCAUCGCUGCAACUCUCAUAUGGACCCGCACUGCUUCUUGACACACUGCUCGCUUUAUCUGAAAGCCAGCAGCAACAAUGUGUCUGAGGAAACACUGUCCAGCUGCCGACCGAAGCCAGCUUGCAGGCGCCCAACACCGCACAAGGAGUCGCUAAAGGUCGAUGGGACAAGGAAAUCGGUCACGGCCGGCUGUGACACAGCCGGGGAUCAAACCCGGGUCUGUAGUGACGCCUCAAGCACAGCAAUGCAGUGCCUCAGACCGCUGCGCCACUCGGGUGGCUCAAGGAACCUUUUUGAACUGGAAAUCAAAUAAAAUGUUAUUUGUCACAUGCGUCAUAAACAACAGGUUUAGACUAACAGUGAAAUGCUUUCUUACUGGCCCUUCCCAACAAUACGGA
ensembl:lncRNA